CCUACGGGUGGCAGCAGUGAGGAAUAUUGGGCAAUGGGCGAGAGCCUGAACCAGCAAAGUCGCGUGAAGGAUGAAGGAUCUAUGGUUGGUAAACUUCUUUUAUAGGGGAAUAAAGUGAGGAACGUGUUCCUUUUUGUAUGUACCAUAUGAAUAAGCAUCGGCUAACUCCGUGCCAGCAGCCGCGGUAAUACGGAGGAUGCGAGCGUUAUCCGGAUUUAUUGGGUUUAAAGGGUGUGUAGGUGGGUAAUUAAGUCAGCGGUGAAAGUUUGUGGCUCAACCAUGAAAUUGCAUUUGAAACUGGUUGUCUUGAGUAUCUUUGAGGUAGGCGGAAUUCGUGGUGUAGCGGUGAAAUGCAUAGAUAUCACGCAGAACUCCGAUUGCGAAGGCAGCUUACUAAACUAUAACUGACACUGAGGCACGAAAGCGUGGGGAUCAAACAGGAUUAGAUACCCGAGUAGUC
rnacentral:rRNA from 1 species